GUGGUCUAGUGGUUAGAACAUCCGCCUCGGAGGCGGGAAGACCUGAGUUCGAACCUAGGCCGUGCCA